rnacentral:rRNA from 1 species
AUUGAACGCUGGCGGCAUGCUUUACACAUGCAAGUCGAACGGUAACAGGCCUUCGGGUGCUGACGAGUGGCGAACGGGUGAGUAAUGCAUCGGAACGUACCCAGAGGUGGGGGAUAACGCAGCGAAAGCUGUGCUAAUACCGCAUGUGAUCUGAGGAUGAAAGCGGGGGACCGAGCAGCAAUGUUUGGCCUCGCGCCUUUGGAGCGGCCGAUGUCGGAUUAGCUAGUUGGUGGGGUAAAGGCCUACCAAGGCGACGAUCCGUAGCUGGUCUGAGAGGACGACAGGCCACACUGGGAGUGAGACACGGCCCAGACUCCUACGGGAGGCAGCAGUGGGGAAUUUUGGACAAUGGGCGCAAGCCUGAUCCAGCAAUGCCGCGUGCGGGAAGAAGGCCUUCGGGUUGUAAACCGCUUUUGGCAGGAACGAAACGGUGUCCGCUAAUACCGGGCGCUAAUGACGGUACCUGCAGAAUAAGCACCGGCUAACUACGUG